UACGGGGGGGGGUAAGCGUUGUUCGGAAUUACUGGGCGUAAAGGGCUCGUAGGCGGCCAACUAAGUCGGACGUGAAAUCCCUCAGCUUAACUGGGGAACUGCGUCCGAUACUGGAUGGCUUGGAUUUGGGAGAGGGAUGCGGAAUUCCAGGUGUAGCGGUGAAAUGCGUAGAUAUCUGGAGGAACACCGGUGGCGAAGGCGGCAUCCUGGACCAACAUUGACGCUGUAGAGCGAAAGCGUGGGGAGCGAACAGG
rnacentral:rRNA from 1 species